rnacentral:rRNA from 1 species
AUUGAACGCUGGCGGCAGGCCUAACACAUGCAAGUCGAGCGGACGAAGGGAGCUUGCUCCUGUAUUCAGCUGCGGACGGGUGAGUAAUGCCUAGGAAUCUGCCUGGUAGUGGGGGAUAACGUCCGGACACGGGCGCUAAUACCGCAUACGUCCUGAGGGAGAAAGUGGUGGAUCUUCGGACCUCACGCUAUCAGAUGAGCCUAGGUCGGAUUAGCUAGUUGGUGAGGUAACGGCCUACCAAGGCAACGAUCCGUAACUGGCCUGAGAGGGUGAUCGGCCACACUGGAACUGAGACACGGUCCAGACUCCUACGGGAGGCAGCAGUAGGGAAUCUUGCGCAAUGGGCGAAAGCCUGACGGAGCAACGCCGCGUGAGUGAUGAAGGUCUUCGGAUCGUAAAACUCUUUUAUUAGGGAAGAAGAAAUGUGUAAGUAACUAUGCACGUCUUGACGUUACCUAAUCAGAAAGCCACGGCUAACUACGUG